CCUACGGGUGGCUGCAGUGGGGAAUAUUGCACAAUGGGCGCAAGCCUGAUGCAGCCAUGCCGCGUGUGUGAAGAAGGCCUUCGGGUUGUAAAGCACUUUCAGCGGGGAGGAAGGCGUUAAGGUUAAUAACCUUGGCGAUUGACGUUACCCGCAGAAGAAGCACCGGCUAACUCCGUGCCAGCAGCCGCGGUAAUACGGAGGGUGCAAGCGUUAAUCGGAAUUACUGGGCGUAAAGCGCACGCAGGCGGUCUGUCAAGUCGGAUGUGAAAUCCCCGGGCUCAACCUGGGAACUGCAUUCGAACCUGGCAGGCUAGAGGCUUGUAGAGGGGGGUAGAAUUCCAGGUGUAGCGGUGAAAUGCGUAGAGAUCUGGAGGAAUACCGGUGGCGAAGGCGGCCCCCUGGACAAAGACUGACGCUCAGGUGCGAAAGCGUGGGGAGCAAACAGGAUUAGAUACCCCAGUAGUC
rnacentral:rRNA from 1 species